AUUGAACGCUGGCGGCAUGCCUUACACAUGCAAGUCGAGCGAUGAAGCUCCUUCGGGAGUGGAUUAGCGGCGGACGGGUGAGUAACACGUGGGCAACCUGCCUUAUAGAGAGGAAUAGCCAUCCGAAAGGAUGAUUAAUACCUCAUAAUAUUGUAGCUUCGCAUGGAGCAACAAUCAAAGGAGCAAUCCACUAUAAGAUGGGCCCGCGGCGCAUUAGCUAGUUGGUGAGGUAACGGCUCACCAAGGCGACGAUGCGUAGCCGACCUGAGAGGGUGAUCGGCCACAUUGGGACUGAGACACGGCCCAGACUCCUACGGGAGGCAGCAGUGGGGAAUAUUGCACAAUGGGGGAAACCCUGAUGCAGCAACGCCGCGUGAGUGAUGACGGCCUUCGGGUUGUAAAGCUCUGUCUUCAGGGACGAUAAUGACGGUACCUGAGGAGGAAGCCACGGCUAACUACGUGCCAGCAGCCGCCGUAA
rnacentral:rRNA from 1 species